GCAUGGACAGGAGAGAUGCAGGUGGCAUAUGCAGCUGUGAACCUGGGGCCACCUGGACAUGAAGCCCCUCCCCAAGAAUGCCCCCACUGGGACCAGGUCUGUCUAACACAGAAGAAUCAAAUCAAGAUGCACUCUCUUUGCAGUACCUCCUUUGUAGCAUCCAAGAGAGACCCAGAUGCUACAAUGAUGAAGCUUUGACAUCACCCACAAGAAUAACCACAAAUGACUGUGACUACCACGUCUCUAUCUAUAACCCAACUACCCUGCACCAAACCACUAAGACUGCUGCCACCAUUCCAGGAGUUCGUGAGGGAUUGAGAUGCCAUGAAGUUCCACCAGUGGGGCUGUUAUAGGAACCACUCUGCUACAGGGUUCGAUCCCAAGGAAGCCUCUGACCAAAGUGUUUUCUAAGAACUGCCCAUUGGAAUCAAAUACAGACACCCAUCUGGGGUUUCCCAUGAAUACGCAUCAUACAGUACUGCUGCCAUGCCCCUCUGACACUCACUGGACUCUGAGCCCCUGGCUCCUCUUCAUCCCACCACUCAGGAUACACAGAAGCAGAUUCCAACAUGGAUACUGAAACAUGAAUGCACAGCUAAAGUGCAUGCAAGGGAACUCUCCAUACUGACAAAUAUGCUGGCACUGUUCACAUAGGCCCACCUAGGUGCGGAGCCAGCCAUGGGGCUGCUCACAUUGAGCUUCAGGUUGACUGAAACCUUCAGGCAUUUUUUAUUUGACAAGCACUCUAGGCCUCUGCUCUGCUGUCUGUGUGAUGUUCAAGACUUCAAGAAGACUGUAUUUCUAGCCUAAAAUACCUGUAGUCCAGUACAGCCUUACUCCAGUAUCUACUGAAGACCUCCAUCCCUGGGCUGAUUGGAAAGAUGUGCUGUUUUGUAACCCAGACUGACCUACUCCACUAAUUUAUAUUUCCUAUGGUCUGGUUUUGCACUUUGUAUUUAUACUAUGCCCUAAAUGAACAUGUUUCCUUUAAGCUGCCCCAUAUCUUUUAUGGUAUGGGGUGGUUGCCUAAAUAAAGAAAUGGAUAUGUUUUUAUGUGGCA
rnacentral:lncRNA from 1 species